AGAUUAAGCCAUGCAUGUGUAAGUAUAAACAACUUGUACUUGUGAAACUGCGAAUGGCUCAUUACAACAGUUAUAAUUUAUUUGACAAUGACUAAAAUUGAAAUAUUAUUUUUUACUACAUGGAUAGCCGUAGUAAUUCUAGAGCUAAUACAUGCGUUAAAUGAGGAAAGAAGUAUGGGAAGAUAUAUAAGUUUAUAAGAUUUAAGUAAGUAUUGGCAACAGUAUUUAUUUAGGUUUUAUAGAUGAGUAUAUUUUCUUUUCUUUUCAUUGUUUAUUCAAAAAAUCCGACUCGUGAGGGAAGGAUUGUAUUUAUUAGAUCGAAAACCAAUGUGAAUAGUUUAAUUAAAGUGAAUUAAAGGAAGUUUUCGGACUUUUGGAGAUUUUCUUUAAACUUAUUUUAAUUAUUUUCUUGCAAACUUUAAAACUUUUCAGGAAAAUAAUAAAACCUUGGUGAAUCAUGAUAAAUUUGUCGAAUCGUAUAUUAAGGUGGUAGUUAUUUAAGACUAUUUGUCAAAGGAUAGCCCCUGGGUAAUUAUUGCUAUACGAUAUGUCAUUCAAAUUUCUGACCUAUCAACUUUUGAUGGUAGGAUAGAGGCCUACCAUGGUUUUGACGGGUAACGGAGAAUUAGGGUUCGAUUCCGGAGAGGGAGCCUGAGAGAUGGCUACCACUUCCAAGGAAGGCAGCAGGCGCGCAAAUUACCCAAUCCCAAUUGAUGGUUUGGCUAAGUAAUUAAAAACUAUUUUAGCUUGACUUAUUUGGGGAGGUAGUGACAAAAAAUAACAAUACGGGAUCUUUUACAAGGUUCUGCAAUUGGAAUGGUUUUAAUGUAAAUGCUUAAAAGAGAAACAAUUAGAGGGCAAGUCUGGUGCCAGCAGCCGCGGUAAUUCCAGCUCUAAUAGUGUAUACUAAAAUUGCUGCAGUUAAAAAGCUCGUAGUUGGAUUUUUGAAAUUUUUAAAUAUAUUUUUCUUAAGGUUCUGAAUGAAUUUGAUAAAAUUAAUUGGCUCAUGUAAAAAGUGAAGUUGAUUAAUUGGGCGAAAUUGAUUAAAUUAAAAUACCAUUCCUAAUGUGUAUUUUAUGCAGUUUUGCUUUCUUUAAGAAAAAUGUCCUAAAAUAAUUCUUUUAUAUAGCAAUAUAUAAUUGAGGGAUAAAUUUAAUAUUCGAAAUUGUCAAUAUUCAAUUAAUUUUGAAUUUAUUGAUCGUUGUUUAAAGAAAUUAAAUAAAGUUAUAAGGAUUUAUUCUUAUAAUUUUAUCUUUAAGCCGAUUUCGGAAAUUUUACUUUGAAGAAAAUGGAGUGUUCAAAGCAGGCAUUUUCGAUUUUACUAAAUUUUGGCUUUCGGGUCAAGGUUUAUUAAAAUGAAAAAUAUUCGCAACUGAACACAUUAGCAUGGAAUAAUAAAAUAAGACACUUGAUAGAAUUAGUUAAAUAACCUUAAACAAGUUAUUUAACGACUUUCUAAUUUUAAAAGAAUUCUUGUAUAUGGGAUUUUUAUUGUAAAAAGUAAAAGUUUCGCUUUAAAUGCAAGUUUCCAAAUAAUAUUUCUUUUAAGAUUUCAUUUUUAUUGGUUGAUGAAACAAGUGUAAUGAUUAAGAGGGACAGUUGGGGGUAUCUGUAUUGCAUUGUCAGAGGUGAAAUUCUUAGAUUUAUGCAAGACAAACAAGUGCGAAAGCAUUUACCAAGGAUGUUUUCAUUAAUCAAGAACGAAAGUUAGGGGAUCGAAGGCGAUCAGAAACCGCCCUAGUCUUAACUAUAAACGAUGCCAACUAGGGAUUGGAGGGAAUUUAUAAAAAUGAAAACUAUUUUUUUGUAAAAGGGAAAAUAGGGUUUGUUUUUAUUGCUUUAAAUAAAACMACAAUAGAUUAGAAUUUUAAAGUAUARCMAUAUAUUUUUUAGUUUUUAGUUUAUUGUUUUUAAGCCCCGUCAGCACCUUUAGAGAAAUCAAUUAAGUCUCUGGGUUCUGGGGGGAGUAUGGUCGCAAGUCUGAAACUUAAAGAAAUUGACGGAAGGGCACCACCAGGUGUGGAGCCUGCGGCUUAAUUUGACUCAACACGGGGAAACUUACCAGGUCCAGACACGGGAAGGAUUGACAGAUUGAUAGUUUUUUCUUGAUUCCGUGGGUGGUGGUGCAUGGUCGUUCUUAGUUGGUGGAGUGAUUUGUCUGGUUAAUUCCGAUAACGAACGAGACCUCAACCUGCUAAAUAGGAUAAUAAUUUUUAUUUUCAUUUUUGAAUUUUCUAUUAGUAAUUUAAAGARAGGUAGUAAGCAAUUAUUAUUCUUUUUUUGAAGAAUUAGUAGAAAAUUUAGAAAUGAAAGAAAAAGAUUAAAUAUAAAAAUAAUUCGACAUGCUCUUUAGAGAAUUCUCUUAGAAUAACUUGUUAUUUUAGGGUGAGCUUUAAGGAGUGAAUUAUUGAAAUUAUUAUAAAUCAAAAUUUUUUAGUAUUUGRGGUAGUAGAUUAAAUUAGGAGGGAAAGUAUAGCAAUAUAUUUUUUCUUUUAGUUUAGUUUAUUAUUUUUCAGUAUUAAAAAAGACCUACUUAGAGGGACUACCAUGGUUGCACAUGGGGGAAGCAUGAGGCAAUAACAGGUCUGUGAUGCCCUUAGAUGUCCUGGGCCGCACGCGCGCUACACUGAUAAAGUCAACAAGUUUAUAUUAUAAUUUGAUUAACAAAGAAAAUAUAGAUUUUUAUAUUAGAUUGGGGUAAGCAAUUAUUUCAGUUUAGUAUAAUAUUUGUAUUUUUUAAUUAAAUUAUAAUUUCCUUAUCCGAAAGGAUUGGGUAAUCUUUUUAAACUUUAUCGUGAUGGGGAUUGAUCUUUGUAAUUUUGGAUCAUGAACGAGGAAUACCUAGUAAGCGCAAUUCAUCAGAUUGCGUUGAUUACGUCCCUGCCCUUUGUACACACCGCCCGUCGCUCCUACCGAUUGAAUGAUCAGAUGAAAUGUUCGGAUUGUUAAAUCAUUAAAAGUUUAAAAAUUUAUAUUAAUAUUGGUAGAUAAAGUAGCAAUAUUUUAUUUAUUCAAGUUAGUAUGAAUUCUUUUUUACCGAUUUAGUUAGAAGAACAGUAAAUCUUAUUAUUUAGAGGAAGGAGAAGUCGUAACAAGGUUUCCGGUAGGUGAAGUCAUAUGCUGUCUC
rnacentral:rRNA from 1 species